AUGCAUGAUCAGGUCGGCCUGGACCUAGACGGCUUCCCACUUGACCAGGAGUUUUCGGAGGACUCCGGGCAAGAGGAAGAGGACGAGUGCGACAUCGAAGGGGAGCCUUUCUUUGAGGACGAGCUCGCCAACCAAACCGCCAGGGUGAAGCCGAAGCAAAAGAGCAAGCGGACCAAGGCAUACACGGCUGCCGAGGACAAGCUUAUUUGUGAGUUUUGGAGAGACAUUGGGCAAGACCCCAAGACAGGCACCGAACAAAAGCAUUCAACUUUUUGGAUUCGUGUCCACUGUGAGUUUCAUGAGCGCAAGAAGUUUCCGCCGUACCAAAUAGUAAGCACGCACGGGUGGGUGUCCAUUUCGAAGCGAUGGAGGAUGAUCCAACAAGAAUGCAACAAGUUUUGUGCCAUUCUUGAGAGCAUCAAGACCCGCCCCAUGAGAGGCAUUGGCAUGCAAGACAUGAUAUGCUAG
rnacentral:rRNA from 1 species